rnacentral:rRNA from 1 species
AUAAUGGGUCAGCGACUUAUAUUCUGUAGCAAGGUUAACCGAAUAGGGGAGCCGAAGGGAAACCGAGUCUUAACUGGGCGUUAAGUUGCAGGGUAUAGACCCGAAACCCGGUGAUCUAGCCAUGGGCAGGUUGAAGGUUGGGUAACACUAACUGGAGGACCGAACCGACUAAUGUUGAAAAAUUAGCGGAUGACUUGUGGCUGGGGGUGAAAGGCCAAUCAAACCGGGAGAUAGCUGGUUCUCCCCGAAAGCUAUUUAGGUAGCGCCUCGUGAAUUCAUCUCCGGGGGUAGAGCACUGUUUCGGCAAGGGGGUCAUCCCGACUUACCAACCCGAUGCAAACUGCGAAUACCGGAGAAUGUUAUCACGGGAGACACACGGCGGGUGCUAACGUCCGUCGUGAAGAGGGAAACAACCCAGACCGCCAGCUAAGGUCCCAAAGUCAUGGUUAAGUGGGAAACGAUGUGGGAAGGCCCAGACAGCCAGGAUGUUGGCUUAGAAGCAGCCAUCAUUUAAAGAAAGCGUAAUAGCUCACUGGUCGAGUCGGCCUGCGCGGAAGAUGUAACGGGGCUAAACCAUGCACCGAAGCUGCGGCAGCGACGCUUAUGCGUUGUUGGGUAGGGGAGCGUUCUGUAAGCCUGCGAAGGUGUGCUGUGAGGCAUGCUGGAGGUAUCAGAAGUGCGAAUGCUGACAUAAGUAACGAUAAAGCGGGUGAAAAGCCCGCUCGCCGGAAGACCAAGGGUUCCUGUCCAACGUUAAUCGGGGCAGGGUGAGUCGACCCCUAAGGCGAGGCCGAAAGGCGUAGUCGAUGGGAAACAGGUUAAUAUUCCUGUACUUGGUGUUACUGCGAAGGGGGGACGGAGAAGGCUAUGUUGGCCGGGCGACGGUUGUCCCGGUUUAAGCGUGUAGGCUGGUUUUCCAGGCAAAUCCGGAAAAUCAAGGCUGAGGCGUGAUGACGAGGCACUACGGUGCUGAAGCAACAAAUGCCCUGCUUCCAGGAAAAGCCUCUAAGCAUCAGGUAACAUCAAAUCGUACCCCAAACCGACACAGGUGGUCAGGUAGAGAAUACCAAGGCGCUUGAGAGAACUCGGGUGAAGGAACUAGGCAAAAUGGUGCCGUAACUUCGGGAGAAGGCACGCUGAUAUGUAGGUGAAGUCCCUUGCGGAUGGA